rnacentral:rRNA from 1 species
GUCCAUGGCCAUAAGACCCUAAACAAGCCCAAUCUCCUCUUAUCUCUGAAGCUAAGGAGAGUUGGCCUAGCACUUAGAUGGGAGACCACCUGAAAAUACCAGUGCCAUAGGCU